rnacentral:rRNA from 1 species
AACGAACGCUGGCGGCAUGCCUAACACAUGCAAGUCGAACGAGACCUUCGGGUUUAGUGGCGCACGGGUGCGUAACGCGUGGGAACCUGCCCUUAGGUUCGGAAUAACUCCCCGAAAGGGGUGCUAAUACCGGAUAAUGUCUUCGGACCAAAGAUUUAUCGCCUUUGGAUGGGCCCGCGUUGGAUUAGCUAGUUGGUAGGGUAAAAGCCUACCAAGGCGACGAUCCAUAGCUGGUCUGAGAGGAUGAUCAGCCACACUGGCACUGAGACACGCCCCAGACUCCUACGGGAGGCAGCAGUGGGGAAUAUUGGACAAGGGGCGAAAGCCUGAGCCAACAAUGCCGCGUGAGUGAUGAAGGCCUUAGGGUUGUAAAGCUCUUUUACCCGGGAUGAUAAUGACAGUACCGGGAGAAUAAGCGCCGGCUAACUCCGUG